UUUUUUGAAUAUAGAGCAUUAAUUUUAUUACACAACCGAGAUAAUAUAUUUUUUUUCUCGAAAAAAAAAGACUAAAACGAAGGAAAAUUCAUAAAGCAAAGGAAGAAAAAUAACUUCAUUUCUUUGUUUUCCCUGUGCAGUGAAAUGCUUUUGUUUUGGGCUCCGGCGAGGUCUCGCCAAGGUGGCCUCUGCCUGAGUUCUACCUCUUCUUACCGGUGCUCCGGCGAGGUCUCGCCAAGGUAGAGGUUUGCACUGCACUGCAAUCCUCGAACGAGAUAGAAGAA
rnacentral:lncRNA from 1 species